CAAAAAAAAAAAAAAAAAAAAAAAAAAGAAAGACAGGGUGUCACUGUGUCACCCAGGCUGUAGUGCAGUGGUGUGAUCAUAGCUCACUGUAGCAUUCAACUCCUGGGGUCAAGCAAUCCUCCCACCUCAGUAUCCUGAGUAGCUGGGACUACAGGCAUGCACCACCGUGCCUUGCUGAUUUUUUUAAUAGAGAGGGGGUUUUGCUAUGUUGCGCAAUCUGAUCCCAAAUUCCUGGCCUCAAUUGAUCCUCCUGCCUCAGCCUCCCAAAGUGCUAGCAUUACAGGUGCAUACCACCACACUAGGCUUAUUUUAAAAUUUGUCUGUAGAGAUGGGGUUUUGCUAUGUUGCCCAGUCUGAUCCCAGAUUCCUAGCCUCAAGUGAUCCUCCUGCCUCAGCUUCCCAAAGUGCUAGGAUUACAGGUGUGCACCACCACACUAGGCUAAUUUUUAAAUUUGUCUGUAGAGAUGGGGUUUUGCUAUGUUGCCCAGGCUGGCCUCCAACUACUGGCCCCAAGUAAUCCUCCUGCCUCAGCCUCCCAAGGCACUGGGAUUACAGGCGUGAGCCACCAUGCUCGGCUAUCACACAUAAAUUCUUGUAACUAACCACAGAUGAGAUACAGAACUAUUCGGUCCCCACAAAGAUCUCUCUAAAGCUACUCCCUGGGAGUGACCCCCACCCCAUUCCUAACCCUAGGCAACCCCUAAUCUCUUCUCCAGUCUACAACUUUAUUAUUUCAAGAAUAUUAUAGGACGGGUGUGGUGGCUCACACCCAUAAUCCCAGCACUUUGGGAGGCUGAGGCGGGUGGAUCACUUGAGCCCCG
rnacentral:lncRNA from 1 species